AUGAUCUUACUUGAACAGGUCGUACCUCUGUGUCCUUGAGUUCUAAGGAGACAGGAACAUAUGUCUGGUGGAUGAACCAUGACUGUAUGACGAGAGAGUGUGUGAUUAAUGGCCUGAUGAGCUUCUCUUCGGAGGAGUGAAUUUGUCAAUACUAUCUCACCCAAAAGAUGAGACUCAAACAAAAAAGAUGAAUACUAUCAUGUAGGGUCAUUAAGGGCCGUGCAUGAUAGCAUUCAUCAUAGACU
rnacentral:snoRNA from 1 species